rnacentral:rRNA from 1 species
UACGUAGGAACCAAGCGUUGUUCGGAUUUACUGGGCGUAAAGGGCGCGUAGGCGGCAAUUCAAGUCACUUGUGAAAUCUCUGAGCUUAACUCAGAACGGUCAAGUGAUACUGCUUUGCUAGAGUGCAGAAGGGGCAACCGGAAUUCUUGGUGUAGCGGUGAAAUGCGUAGAUAUCAAGAGGAACACCGGAGGUGAAGACGGGUUGCUGGGCUGACACGUGACGCUGGAGGCGCGAAAGCUAGGGUAGCAAACGGG